GACGAACGCUGGCGGCGUGCUUAACACAUGCAAGUCGAACGGAAAGGCCCUGCUUUUGUGGGGUGCUCGAGUGGCGAACGGGUGAGUAACACGUGAGUAACCUGCCCUUGACUUUGGGAUAACUUCAGGAAACUGGGGCUAAUACCGGAUAGGAGCUCCUGCUGCAUGGUGGGGGUUGGAAAGUUUCGGCGGUUGGGGAUGGACUCGCGGCUUAUCAGCUUGUUGGUGGGGUAGUGGCUUACCAAGGCUUUGACGGGUAGCCGGCCUGAGAGGGUGACCGGCCACAUUGGGACUGAGAUACGGCCCAGACUCCUACGGGAGGAAGAAGUGGGGAAUAUUGCACAAUGGGCGGAAGCCUGAUGCAGAAACGCCGCGUGCGGGAUGACGGCCUUCGGGUUGUAAACCGCUUUCGCCUGUGACGAAGCGUGAGUGACGGUAAUGGGUAAAGAAGCACCGGCUAACAACGUG
rnacentral:rRNA from 1 species